rnacentral:rRNA from 1 species
UACGAGGGGGCAAGCGUUGUUCGGAAUUAUUGGGCGUAAAGGGCGCGUAGGCGGUGCGGUAAGUCACCUGUGAAACCUCUAGGCUCAACCUAGAGCCUGCAGGCGAACUGCCGUGCUUGAGGGUGGGAGAGGUGCGUGGAAUUCCUGGUGUAGCGGUGAAAUGCGCAGAUAUCAGGAAGAACACCAUGGCGAAAGCAGCUUCUGGGACGGUACUGACGCUGAGACGCGAAGCGUGGGAGCGAACAGG